GCGGUUCUCAGGUGAUGCACCCCAGAAUCGGGCUCCCUCCUCUCUGGUUCUGGGUGUAUCACCCGAGAACCAGA
rfam:Myotis brandtii contig305444, whole genome shotgun sequence.